rnacentral:misc_RNA from 1 species
GAUGAAGAACGCAGCGAAGUGCGAUACUUGGUGUGAAUUGCAGAAUCCCGUGAACCAUCGAGUCUUUGAACGCAAGUUGCGCCCGAAGCCAUUAGGCCGAGGGCACGCCUGCCUGGGCGUCACACGUCGUUGCCCCCCCAUCUACUCCUUCGGGAUUGCGGGGGGCGGAUGAUGGCCUCCCGUGCGCCUCGCCGCGCGGUUGGCAUAAAUGCCAAGUCCUCGGCGACGCACGCCACGACAAUCGGUGGUUGCGAAACCUCGGUUGCCCGUCGUGUGCGGUCGUCGCGCAUCGAGGGCUCGAAAAAAUUGCCGGGUUCCGGCUCGGCUUUCAACGCGACCCCAGGUCAGGCGGGGUUACCCGCUGAAUUUAAGCAUAUCAAUAAGCGGAGGA